AAUACAGAGGUCCCAAGCGUUGUUCGGAUUUACUGGGCGUAAAGGGUGCGUAGGUGGCGGGGUAAGUCGGAUGUGAAAUCUCCAGGCUCAACCUGGAAAUGGCAUUGGAAACUACCUUGCUGGAGAGUUGGAGGGGGGACUGGAAUACUUGGUGUAGCAGUGAAAUGCGUAGAUAUCAAGUGGAACACCAGUGGCGAAGGCGAGUCCCUGGACAACUUCUGACGCUGAGGCACGAAAGCUAGGGGAGCAAACAGGA
rnacentral:rRNA from 1 species